rnacentral:rRNA from 1 species
CGCGUAGGCGGCUUGUUAAGUCUGGAGUGGAAGUCCUCUUUUUAAGGGAGGAAUUGCUUUGGAAACUGGCGAGCUUGAGUGCAGGGGAGGUUAUCGGAAUUCCCGGUGUAGCGGUGAAAUGCGUAGAGAUCGGGAGGAACACCAGUGGCGAAGGCGGGUAACUGGACUGCAACUGACGCUGAGGCGCGAAAGUGUGGGGAGCAAACA